GAUGAACGCUGGCGGCGUGCCUAAUACAUGCAAGUCGAGCGAACAGACGAGGAGCUUGCUCCUCUGACGUUAGCGGCGGACGGGUGAGUAACACGUGGAUAACCUACCUAUAAGACUGGGAUAACUUCGGGAAACCGGAGCUAAUACCGGAUAAUAUAUUGAACCGCAUGGUUCAAUAGUGAAAGACGGUUUUGCUGUCACUUAUAGAUGGAUCAGCGCCGCAUUAGCUAGUUGGUAAGGUAACGGCUUACCAAGGCAACGAUGCGUAGCCGACCUGAGAGGGUGAUCGGCCACACUGGAACUGAGACACGGUCCAGACUCCUACGGGAGGCAGCAGUAGGGAAUCUUCCGCAAUGGGCGAAAGCCUGACGGAGCAACGCCGCGUGAGUGAUGAAGGUCUUCGGAUCGUAAAACUCUGAUGUUAGGGAAGAACAGAUGUGUAAGUAACUAUGCACGUCUUGACGGUACCUAAUCAGAAAGCCACGGCUAACUACGUG
rnacentral:rRNA from 1 species